AUUGAACGCUGGCGGCAGGCCUAACACAUGCAAGUCGGACGGUAGCACAGAGAGCUUGCUCUUGGGUGACGAGUGGCGGACGGGUGAGUAAUGUCUGGGGAUCUGCCCGAUAGAGGGGGAUAACCACUGGAAACGGUGGCUAAUACCGCAUAACGUCGCAAGACCAAAGAGGGGGACCUUCGGGCCUCUCACUAUCGGAUGAACCCAGAUGGGAUUAGCUAGUAGGCGGGGUAAUGGCCCACCUAGGCGACGAUCCCUAGCUGGUCUGAGAGGAUGACCAGCCACACUGGAACUGAGACACGGUCCAGACUCCUACGGGAGGCAGCAGUGGGGAAUAUUGCACAAUGGGCGCAAGCCUGAUGCAGCCAUGCCGCGUGUAUGAAGAAGGCCUUCGGGUUGUAAAGUACUUUCAGCGGGGAGGAAGGCGACGCGGUUAAUAACCGCGUCGAUUGACGUUACCCGCAGAAGAAGCACCGGCUAACUCCGUGCCAGCAGCCGCAGUAA
rnacentral:rRNA from 1 species